AUUGAACGCUGGCGGCAGGCCUAACACAUGCAAGUCGAGCGGAUGAAGGGAGCUUGCUCCUGGAUUCAGCGGCGGACGGGUGAGUAAUGCCUAGGAAUCUGCCUGGUAGUGGGGGAUAACGUCCGGAAACGGGCGCUAAUACCGCAUACGUCCUGAGGGAGAAAGUGGGGGAUCCUCGGACCUCACGCUAUCAGAUGAGCCUAGGUCGGAUUAGCUAGUUGGUGGGGUAAAGGCCUACCAAGGCGACGAUCCGUAACUGGUCUGAGAGGAUGAUCAGUCACACUGGAACUGAGACACGGUCCAGACUCCUACGGGAGGCAGCAGUGGGGAAUAUUGGACAAUGGGCGAAAGCCUGAUCCAGCCAUGCCGCGUGUGUGAAGAAGGUCUUCGGAUUGUAAAGCACUUUAGGUUGGGAGGAAGGGCAGUAAGUUAAUACCUUGCUGUUUUGACGUUACCAACAGAAUAAGCGCCGGCUAACUUCGUG
rnacentral:rRNA from 1 species